rnacentral:rRNA from 1 species
AGAGUUUGAUCCUGGCUCAGGACGAACGCUGGCGGUGUGCUUCACACAUGCAAGUCGAACGAGGUAGCAAUACCUAGUGGCGGACGGGUGAGUAACGCGUGGGAAUCUGCCUUGAGAUGGGGGAUAACGAGCCGAAAGGCUCGCUAAUACCGCAUAUGCCGAAAGGUGAAAGGAGUAAUCCGUCUUAAGAUGAGCCCGCGUCCGAUUAGCUAGUUGGUGGGGUAAAGGCCUACCAAGGCGACGAUCGGUAGCUGGUCUGAGAGGAUGAUCAGCCACAAUGGGACUGAGACACGGCCCAUACUCCUACGGGAGGCAGCAGUGGGGAAUUUUACGCAAUGGGGGAAACCCUGACGUAGCGACACCGCGUGAGCGAAGAAGCCCUUUGGGGUGUAAAGCUCUGUCAGCUGGAACGAAACAAAUGACGGUACCUGUGGAGGAAGCAUCGGCUAACUACGUGCCAGCAGCCGCGGUAAGACGUAGGAUGCAAGCGUUGUCCGGAUUUAUUGGGCGUAAAGAGUUCGUAGGCGGUUUGUUAAGUCUGAUGUUAAAGACCGGGGCUCAACCUCGGAAAUGCAUUGGAUACUGGCAGACUGGAGUGCAGUAGAGGCUAGUGGAAUUCCCAGUGUAGCGGUGAAAUGCGUAGA